rnacentral:rRNA from 1 species
UUCUCCCUCUUUCUUCGUGCUUAACACAUGCAAGUCGAACGGAAAGGCCUGCUUUCCCUUGUGGAUUGCGGGUACUCGAGUGGCGAACGGGUGAGUAACACGUGAGUGAUCUGCCCCCAACUUGGGUAUAAGCCUGGGAAACUGGGUCUAAUUCCCGAUAGGACUGCAGGGUGGUGCCUGUGGUGGCAAACGAUUUUCUAGUUGUUGGGGAUGAGCUGGCGGCCUAUCAGCUUGUUGGUGGGGUAAUGGCCUACCAAGGCGGGGACGGGUAGCCUGCCUGGGAGGGGGGACGGCGACAUUGGGACUGGGACACGGCCCAGACUGCAGCGAGAGGCAGCAGUGGGGAAGAAGGGAGAGUAGGCGGGAGCGUGAUACGGCGAGGCAGCGGAGAAGAUGUCGGCCUUGGAGUUGUAAGCUCCUUUCGAAGGAGAGGAAGCCACCUGGUUGGAAGGGUGGUGACGGUAGUGGUAGAAGAAGCACCGGCUAACUACGUG